UGUGUGUGUGGGGGGGGGGGGGGUGAUUGGUGCUCAACCCAGCCAGGGACAAUAUCUUCAUCACUUGAUGCUAUCUGGCCUGUCUCCGGGUCACUGACUCCGCAGGAGGAGGGAAGGCAUCAUUUUCUUUUAGGGGGGGGGGGGGUGGUGGUGUGGGAGGUGGGGGGGUGGGUCGGCGGGGGUCACGUUUCAUUAACGAUAAAAAUCCAUAUUUAUCCUCCACAUAAUGACAGUAGAUAGCGACUGAAGUUAGUUUCCAGCUUGAUCUGUAGCAUUCCUCACAUCAAAGAGGGGGGAUGCGUUCAAAGGCUCCUCAGUUUGAAGCUAUGGGAGGCUUUUCAGGGUGACUUUAGAGCGGUAAGCUGCCAGCACAGAUGUGAGCGGAUACUGCAAAAUGUGGGCUGUUGGAAGAAGAAAAAAAAUGUAGAGGUGAAUGGCUAACACUGCUUGGAAAAGUCAUCAUUAGUGACAGAGAAAGGCAUUUUAAGAGAAAGGUUCAUGCAAUCACACAGUCCCGGUUAGAUUAACGCUGUUUCUACCUCGUGAUUGUUGCAACAAAAGAUGAAAUGAUUGUCACCGUGAUGACUUUCUAGAGUUGUGAAAUCCUGUCUCUGUGAGUCUCUAUAAGCCUUCAAACUAAUCUUUUACUCAUACUGGACUUCCUGGAUCAUAUUUCAUGUCUCACUAUUAGGAUACCUGAAGCAACAGCAAUGCAGCACCCUCGCUCUUUUUUUGCUCUGAACAUUCACUAAUGAAAUCCAUAACAGAGACCUGCAGCCUUGUCCCCUUUAUAAGAUGGCCUUUGUUCCACUCACCAGCUGUCAGCCAGAAAGAUCAUUGUCAGAAACCUUCAAUGACAAAGCACAAAUGGAGAAGUGAAAACGCAGCGUACGUAAUCUAACCCCGGACGUCAUAUACAAUUCAGUGGAAGUGGGUGUGCUUGGAUGGAAAUGAUGACACAGACUUGCCAUGAGAAUUUAAAAAUAAAGGUUUAUUUUAGAGAUGA